GGAGAUGUAGCUCAGUGGUAGAGCACUUUUCUAGCAUGCAGAAGAUCCUAGGUUUGAUUCCAGGCAACUUUU
rnacentral:tRNA from 1 species